rnacentral:lncRNA from 10 species
UGUGCUCCUGAUCCAGCAAGGCACCCAUUGCUGCUCCUAAUCAGGCUAAAGGCUUGCCAUUGUUCCUGCAUGGCUAAGUUCCUGGGUUCAUUCUAAUCAAGCUGAACAGUAGUCACUGGGUUCCAUGGUUCUCUUCCAUGACCCAUGGCUUCCAAUAGAACUAUAACACUCACCUCAUGGCCCAAGAUUCCAUUCCUUGGAAUCCGUGAAGCCAAGAACCCCAGGUCAGAGAACAUAAGGCUUGCUACCAUCUUGGAAGUGGCCUGCUGCCAUUUUGGAAGUGGCCUGCCACCAUCUUGGGAGCUCUGGGAGCAAGGACCCCCCCCCCCCCGGCAACAUUUUGGUGACCAUGAAGCGACCUCCAAAGUGGAUGCUGCCAUCUCCAUGAAUAAUGCCCAUGUUAGCCAGCUGGAAAAUAAGAUACCAUGAGGAGGAGAAGCAAGGUGCCGCUGUUGACAGGCCCAGAAGAAGAAACUCACCCCCAGAAGCAGAGCUGUCUAGUCAACAAGCAGCUGAUGAUACAUGUCUGAAGGAGCUCAGCUGAGACUGGAAGAAUGGCCCCACUCAGCUCGGCCUAAAUGGCUGAUCAUUUCAAUUAUGAACUAAUAAGUUUUGGAUGAUUUGUUAUGCUGCAAUAGCUAACUAAUACAUGCACCCAGUACAGAUAGGUUGCCAGGAUUCAGAGACAGGUUGA